UGAUCCUGGCUCAGGAUGAACGCUAGCGGCAGGCUUAACACAUGCAAGUCGAGGGGUAACAUUGUAGCUUGCUACAGAUGACGACCGGCGCACGGGUGCGUAACGCGUAUAGAACUUACCUUUUACAGAGGGAUAGCCUUUAGAAAUGAAGAUUAAUACCUCAUAGUAUUAUUGAUUGGCAUCAAUUAAUAAUUAAAGAUUUAUCGGUAAAAGAUGGCUAUGCGUCCUAUUAGCUAGAUGGUAAGGUAAUGGCUUACCAUGGCUACGAUAGGUAGGGGCCCUGAGAGGGGGAUCCCCCACACUGGUACUGAGACACGGACCAGACUCCUACGGGAGGCAGCAGUGAGGAAUAUUGGGCAAUGGAGGUAACUCUGACCCAGCCAUGCCGCGUGCAGGAAGACUGCCCUAUGGGUUGUAAACUGCUUUUAUACAGGAAGAAACACUCGUACGUGUACGAGCUUGACGGUACUGUAAGAAUAAGGACCGGCUAACUCCGUGCCAGCAGCCGCGGUAAUACGGAGGGUCCGAGCGUUAUCCGGAAUCAUUGGGUUUAAAGGGUCCGCAGGCGGUCAAUUAAGUCAGAGGUGAAACCCCAUAGCUUAACUAUGGAACUGCCUUUGAUACUGGUUGACUUGAGUCAUAUGGAAGUAGAUAGAAUGUGUAGUGUAGCGGUGAAAUGCAUAGAUAUUACACAGAAUACCGAUUGCGAAGGCAGUCUACUACGUAUGUACUGACGCUCAUGGACGAAAGCGUGGGGAGCGAACAGGAUUAGAUACCCUGGUAGU
rnacentral:rRNA from 1 species